CACACAGCUGUCCCGGACACGCCUACUCCUGACCCAACCGUGUCAUUCACCUUUUUCUGGAGUGAUGACGUGGUACGGUAGUAAAAAAAAAAAAAAGAUUGCGCAGUACUACGAGAGUAUGAAUGGCGGCGUCCGGCUUCCUUGUUUUUUCGAUUGAAAAUCCGCGUUACCUACAACCGCGGUGCUCACGGCAGAAUUCUCCAAGCAAUGCAAUCUUGGAUGUCAUGCACCUCGUGGAGCUACGGCGGAUAAUCGUCUGAUGUGGAAGGAAACGCACGGACGGCCUUGACUUCACUGAGCAGGACUCACGAGACAAAAAGGGUCCUGGGGGAGUUCAUUGUUUCCCGGGUGCCCUAUGAAGCCUCCCCACACCGCAUUCAAGCAAGCAAAUGGAAGAACAUCGCUCAUCAAACUUUUUCUUUAAUAAAUCAUUUAAACACA